AGAAUCAACGCUGGCGGCGUGCCUAACACAUGCAAGUCGAACGAGAAAGGGGAGCAAUCCCUGAGUACAGUGGCGACCGGGUGAGUAACACGUGACUAACCUACCCUCGAGUGUGGAAUAACAUCGGGAAACCGAUGCUAAUACCGCAUAACAUCGCAAGAUCAAAGGAGUAAUCCGCUUGAGGAGGGGGUCGCGGCUGAUUAGCUAGUUGGCGGGGUAAUGGCCCACCAAGGCGAAGAUCGGUAUCCGGCCUGAGAGGGCGCACGGACACACUGGAACUGAAACACGGUCCAGACUCCUACGGGAGGCAGCAGUGGGAAUUUUGCGCAAUGGGGGAAACCCUGACGCAGCAACGCCGCGUGGAGGAUGAAGCCCCUUGGGGCGUAAACUCCUUUCGACCAAGACGAUAAUGACGGUACUGGUGGAAGAAGCACCGGCUAACUCUGCGCCAGCAGCCGC
rnacentral:rRNA from 1 species